AUGGCCGACGCGGGUCGACGUAUAGCGUAGUAUCUGUUCUUAUCAGCUUAAUAUCUGAUACGGGUUCUAUUUGGACCUAAUAUAUUAAACUUACUUUUACAACUUGGAGGAGUGCUUGAAGCCUGCUUCACCUCCACCGCGGGUCCACCCGCUAUUGCACUACCUCCGGGAUUGGCUCAUGGUUU